CAGACGAGGAGCUUGCUCCUCUGACGUUAGCGGCGGACGGGUGAGUAACACGUGGAUAACCUACCUAUAAGACUGGGAUAACUUCGGGAAACCGGAGCUAAUACCGGAUAAUAUAUUGAACCGCAUGGUUCAAUAGUGAAAGACGGUUUUGCUGUCACUUAUAGAUGGAUCCGCGCCGCAUUAGCUAGUUGGUAAGGUAACGGCUUACCAAGGCAACGAUGCGUAGCCGACCUGAGAGGGUGAUCGGCCACACUGGAACUGAGACACCGUCCAGACUCCUACGGGAGGCAGCAGUAGGGAAUCUUCCGCAUUGGGCGAAAGCCUGACGGAGCAACGCCGCGUGAGUGAUGAAGGUCUUCGGAUCGUAAAACUCUGUUAUUAGGGAAGAACAAAUGUGUAAGUAACUAUGCACGUCUUGACGGUACCUAAUCAGAAAGCCACGGCUAACUACGUGCCAGCAGCCGCGGUAAUACGUAGGUGGCAAGCGUUAUCCGGAAUUAUUGGGCGUAAAGCGCGCGUAGGCGGUUUUUUAAGUCUGAUGUGAAAGCCCACGGCUCAACCGUGGAGGGUCAUUGGAAACUGAAAAACUUGAGUGCAGAAGAGGAAAGUGGAAUUCCAUGUGUAGCGGUGAAAUGCGCAGAGAUAUGGAGGAACACCAGUGGCGAAGGCGACUUUCUGGUCUG
rnacentral:rRNA from 1 species